GACGAACGCUGGCGGCGUGCUUAACACAUGCAAGUCGAACGGAAAGGCCUCUUUCGGGGGGUACUCGAGUGGCGCACGGGUGAGUAACACGUGAGUAACCUGCCCUUGACUUUGGGAUAACUUCAGGAAACUGGGGCUAAUACCGGAUAGGAGCUCCUGCUGCAUGGUGGGGGUUGGAAAGUUUCGGCGGUUGGGGAUGGACUCGCGGCUUAUCAGCUUGUUGGUGGGGUAGUGGCUUACCAAGGCUUUGACGGGUAGCCGGCCUGAGAGGGUGACCGGCCACAUUGGGACUGAGAUACGGCCCAGACUCCUACGGGAGGCAGCAGUGGGGAAUAUUGCACAAUGGGUGGAAGCCUGAUGCAGCAACGCCGUGUGCGGGAUGACGGCCUUCGGGUUGUAAACCGCUUUCGCUCAUGACGAAGCUUUGUGUGACGGUAGUGGGUAAAGAAGCACCGGCUAACUACGUG
rnacentral:rRNA from 1 species